rnacentral:rRNA from 1 species
UAGCAUAUCAAUAAGCGGAAGGAAAAGAAACUAACAAGGAUUCCCCUAGUAACUGCGAGUGAAGCGGGAAAAGCUCAAAUUUAAAAUCUGGCGGUCUUCGAUCGUCCGAGUUGUAAUCUAGAGAAGUGUUACCCGCGUCGGACCGUGUACAAGUCUCCUGGAAUGGAGCGUCAUAGAGGGUGAGAAUCCCGUCUUUGACACGGACUACCGAGGCAUUGUGGUGCGCUCUCAAAGAGUCGAGUUGUUUGGGAAUGCAGCUCAAAAUGGGUGGUAAAUUCCAUCUAAAGCUAAAUAUUGGCGAGAGACCGAUAGCGAACAAGUACCGUGAGGGAAAGAUGAAAAGAACUUUGGAAAGAGAGUUAAACAGUACGUGAAAUUGCUGAAAGGGAAACGCUUGAAGUCAGUCGCGUCGGCCGGAAAUCAACCUUGCUUCUGCUUGGUGUACUUUCUGGUCGACGGGCCAGCAUCAGUUUUGACCGAUGGAAAAAGUUCAAGGGAAUGUGGCUUCUCCGGAAGUGUUAUAGCCCUUGAUCGUAUACAUCGGUUGGGACUGAGGAAUUCAGCACGCCGCAAGGCCGGGUUUCGACCACGUUCGUGCUUAGGAUGCUGGCAUAAUGGCUUUAAUCGACCCGUCUUGAAACACGGACCAAGGAGUCUAACAUGCCUGCGAGUGUUUGGGUGGAAAACCCGAGCGCGUAAUGAAAGUGAAAGUUGGGAUCCCUGUCGUGGGGAGCACCGACGCCCGGACCAGAAGUUUACGGACGGCUCCGCGGUAAAGCAUGUAUGUUGGGACCCGAAAGAUGGUGAACUAUGCCUGAAUAGGGUGAAGCCAGAGGAAACUCUGGUGGGAGGCUCGUAGCGAUUCUGACGUGCAAAUCGAUCGUCGAAUUUGGGUAUAGGGGGCGAAAGACUAAAUCGAACCAUCUAGUAGCUGGCUCUGCGA